CCCCCCGCCCGCCAGGGGCGGCGGGCCCUACGAACCUUUGUAUCUCAACCACUAGAAAACCGUCUGAGGAAAAAACAAAAUAAUCAAAACUUUCAACAACGGAUCUCUUGGCUCUGGCAUCGAUGAAGAACGCAGCGAAAUGCGAUACGUAAUGUGAAUUGCAGAAUUCAGCGAACCAUCGAAUCUUUGAACGCACAUUGCGCCCGCCAGCAUUCUGGCGGGCAUGCCUGUCCGAGCGUCAUUUCCCCCCUCACGCGCCCCGUUGCGCGCUGGUGUUGGGGCGCCCUCCGCCUGGCGGGGGGCCCCCGAAAGCGAGUGGCGGGCCCUGUGGAAGGCUCCGAGCGCAGUACCGAACGCAUGUUCUCCCCUCGCUCCGGACGCCCCCCAGGCGCCCUGCCGUGAAACGUCGCAUGACGCGCAGCUGCUUUUUACAGGUUGACCUCGGAUCAGGUA
rnacentral:misc_RNA from 1 species